rnacentral:rRNA from 1 species
GAUGAACGCUGGCGGCGUGCCUAAUACAUGCAAGUCGAGCGAACAGACGAUGAGCUUGCUCCUCGGACGUUAGCGGCGGACGUGUGAGUAACACGUGUAUAACCUACCUAUAAUACUGGUAUAAUUUCGGGAAACCGGAUCUAAUACCGUAUAAUAUAUUGAACCGCAGGGUGCAAUAGUGAAAUACGGUUUUUCUGUCUCUUAUCGAUGGUUCUGCGCCGCAUUGGAUAGUUGGUAAGUUAACGGCUUACCAAGGCGACGAUGGGUGACCGACGUGACAGGGUGGUAGGCCACACUGGAACGGAGACACGGUCAAGAGUACUACGGGAGGCAGCAGUAGGGAAUCUGAGGCAAUAGGCGAAAGCCUGACGCAGCGACGCCGAGUGAGUGAUGACGGUCUUCGGAUCGUAAAAACCUGUUAUUAGGGAAGAACAAAUGUGUACGUAAAUAUGCACGUAUUGACGGUAACUAAUAAGAAAGCAACGGCUAACUACGUG